CAGUCGCCGCGGGAAUACGAAGGGUGCAAGCGUUAAUCGGAAUUACUGGGCGUAAAGCGCGCGUAGGUGGUUCAUUAAGUUGGAUGUGAAAGCCCUGGGCUCAACCUGGGAAUUGCAGUGGAUACUGGGUCACUAGAGUGUGGUAGAGGAUAGUGGAAUUUCCGGUGUAGCAGUGAAAUGCGUAGAGAUCGGAAGGAACAUCUGUGGCGAAGGCGACUAUCUGGGCCAACACUGACACUGAGGCACGAAAGCGUGGAGAGCAAACAGGAUUAGAUACCCGCGUAGUCCCUGUCUCUUAUAA
rnacentral:rRNA from 1 species